AGAAGCUUACCCUGUCUUUUUUAAUAAUUUGAAUUUGUGCCUAAAACUUUUUGAUUGGUUGAUUCUCCUUAAAUUAUACACAAACACACACACACACAGAGGAAUCCAGCAUAAAUACUUAAGGAUCUUUGCUUAUUUUGGAACUGCAUGCUCAUUUAUAUUUAUCCCUCUGCUGAAAUUCUGUAUAAAGUAUUCAGCAUAGGAGCAUGGUUACAUUCUGCUGGACAAGCUCUCAUCCUGUGUAACCUCCUUGUUGGGUUUGUGGAAGUGGGAUAUACAAUGACUCUCCGGCUUUGUCACAGCAUGUUCAUGCCAAGUGGCAAAUCCACAUCUUCCUGAGAAGUAACCUUAACAACAAUGUACCUUUUCACUUGCUUUGAUGGGUCAGGUGUUUUUGGACAGGUGUUGAAGCAUGUCACCUCAUUUCCAUAGCUAUUGAUAGUACUACAGAGCAUUUCUACCAAUUGCUCACUGGGUUAGAAAAUGAAGAAGCAAACAUUUUUGCUAAGUUGUUUCACAGGUUUUGAUGGCAAUAGUACCUUCUUACCAUUUAACAUGUUUAGUCUUCCUAAUGAAAUUAUAUGAGUUGGCAUCCAAUAGGGGUCUGUUAUAACAUUACACCUGAAGCCCUCAUCUAAGACAUUUGGUGUUUAACUAAAGGAAAAAAUGGCUUCUUUGUACCUGUUUACACAGUAGAGUGGAAGAGCACUCAUUUAAAAGAAGCCUCCCUUGGAUGAUGAAAUCAUUACAACACUGUUCCAGGAAAUAAAAUCAACUGCAGCCAAUUCCUUGGUUUUAGUAGGAAAGAUAGCCCAUUUUGUGAUCUGCAAUGUUUAAAUCAAUUGAACGAUGGUGAAAUCUCUCGCCUGAAAUGGCUAUUACACAGCUUGCAACCUUUUGUUCAAGAGAUUAAGUUUGCAUCUCCUCACAUUAUCUCCUUGUAAUUGGAAAACUUUCAUUUUGACAGAGAAAAUGUGCCAGUAUCCCUGUGAGCUUUGCCACAAGCCAAUGCAGAAUGCCAUCUGGAGGAUGCAUGCCCCAGUCAUGCAACAGCCUCCUGUCGGCUUGUAUCUGGAACUUUGCAACAGAACAACUAAUAGCAUCUUAAGCUCCAUUUGUCUAGCUCGCUAGUGCUCUUGGCAGAGGUCAUAACCAGCAGUGGUUUUGUUGAUUUGCUGCAUCAAAUGUAAUUAGGUUAAAGCACUCACUGACAGAGGCUCUGAUAAUGGCAUAAAAGCCUCGGGCUUAGAUUUACCCAUUGUGUCAAAUUUAAGUUUAGAUCAACAAAGACAUACUAAUUUCAUCACUGGAACAAUAGAACUUAAUAGUUUUUAAAGAUGCUUGUUUGAGAUGACAAGCUUUAUCUUUCCUUUGGAUCUCAUAAUUGUUUCAUUUUUUCUCCCCCUUUCCUUUUAUUUUUAGUCAUUGGCUUCCAAUGAAGUGGUGAUAUUUCCUGCUGGGAAAGACAGUGUCAUCUGUACACUGGCCAUACAUCCCUUCUAAACCUGACAUUUGAGUGCCUUGUGGAAAAUGAUGAGAUGUUUUUUAUCAGGUUACACCAAAUAAUUUUGAACUCUAACAGUUUCAUACUUGUAAGGGUAGAGGUAACAUUAUUACUGACCCUUUAACCCUUGCUUACUGGAAAACCCCAAUAGUGUCAGAAGCCUCUUUAUAAAUGAGUCAGUUUCAGGCUCUGAGUAAGAUGGAGAAACCAUUACUUGGGGUUACAUUUAGGGCAAAGCUGAGCUCAGAGCAGAAGAUAGACUUUAGCUGCUAUUAAGAGUCAGAGAAAAAUACAAACAAGAAUUUCUGCUUAUUUCAGAGAAGGCUAAAUUUACCAGAUACAAAGUUUAACAAUUUUCCACAUAAAUGUUGUAAAACAAAUCAGUAGGGGUCUAUGCAAGAGAGGGAGAACUUGGACAUGGUGUCAGUGGGGUGGGAACACUUUCCUGGAAUGGCUGUGCUGAUGACAUGGAUGAGAUUUUUUAAGAACUAGUAGAAGAGAUAAAUAUGAUGUCAUAUGCAAAAUAGUAAUGUGUGAAAUGCAUUUUUUUAUUGACUUAUAAAUUUCCUCUCACUUCCACUGAUUCUCUAACAUCCCUCCAACCCCAGAGCUUGCAAAGAAAACCCUCUGAAUUUCCAGGGGAUGGCACUGAUUUCUGUGGACUUUGUGCCUCGUUGUGGAAGCUAUCUUGGUUUGAGUGUUCCAGGUAUGCUGCUUUUGAUAAAAGCAAUAGGCACAUGUGAGAAUGAGGUUAAGUAAGUGUUUAUUUGAGGAUUUAAUAUCACACACACUCUAGGAAUAAAGCAAUUAUCAUGCUGUUAAUUUCAUAUUCAUGUAUGGCUUAUUUAUUUGUUGUUUACCUCUCUGCAUAAUGAAAAUGCCAUGGAAAUCUGCUUCUUCUGGCACUCUAAUUUUAAAUGAUGCUAAAUGUUAUGUAUAAUUUUAAGUUACAGAUUGCUAAUUCCAUUCUGUUUUAAAUACUCCAUGUAUGAGAAGCCUCUCUGUUCUUGCUGAGUCCUUUUAAAGCAGAAUCAAAGCAUAACUGUCUUAAGUAAUUACAGAGUAGGUAGUUCAUAGAUUAAAACAUGAACUCAAACAUUGUAUUUUGAACCAUAAAGUUAUCUGAGUUAUACACAUGUAUCUCCCUUAUAUUUCUAAGAAUCAACAUCUUAAUUACUUUUCUGACAAAUAUAAUAUAGUCAGAAGAUAGGGGCACAUUGUCCCACUGAUAAAUUAUUUGCAUUUGGUUUACUUGUAAUCUCAUGGUAGGGUCAGCAUUUGGUGAAGUGAUUCUGAAAGCUUCAAGCUACUGAAGUUUUCAUCUAUUUACAUGACAUGAUAUAUUUAAAGAACCAGUCACUGAGAGAAUUCUAAGCUAGUUCAUCUGGGGAUGUAACUAAGAAAAAGAAAAAGAAAUAAAUUCAUAUCCAUUGUACGUGAAGUCUCUCUCCAGCCUGGGAAUCCACUCAAGUUACAUGCUUCAAAUUCUAUUUUCUGACCCUUUCUUACCAGAUCCAUAUCUGGAACCAGAAUGAUGUGCCAUCCAAAUUUGUCUAAAUAUUUUAUUUAUUCAACCACUAUUACUCUGUGCCUACCAUAUGCAUAGAUUAAGUCACCACUCUUGAGCUACUGCAGCCUGAUUGAGAAGAUAAUACAACAGAUGUGAAAUAUUGAAUAAUAAUACUUUAAAUACUUCAAAGGCAAAAAUUAUUGAGGAAAUUCAUUUCUAAACACCCUUAACACAGUCUGCAAAGCUUGGUAUGUGCCAGUUGUUCAAUUUCCAUUGUUAUUUACAAAAGUGAAACUUUGAAUUAAG
rnacentral:lncRNA from 1 species